rnacentral:misc_RNA from 1 species
AGGCCUACCAAGCCCCCUGCAAUUCCAGCAUAGUAGACCUAUAACUAACGAUGGGACUUCAUAGUAGUCUUCGUCGUUAUAUCCAACAUAGUAAUAUCCACCAUCGUGUUUUUUUGAUUUUUUUUCCCUAUAAUACCCAUUCCACUACCCUUCAUACCUUCUACAACUUUUAAUUCCUUCCUUUUACCUUUGCUAAACCCACUCAAACCUAUCGAACCACCACCAUGCUAUCUCACCUUCUUUUUCCACUUUGAAGGAGAUCUUGGGUACGGGGUUCCAAUAUGGGGUCAUACUAAGAUGCGGCUGGGAAGGGUUUGUGAUGCGGUUAAAGGGAGGAUUAAUAGGAUUAGAAUUUAGGUUAGGUGGAAUUAUACUUGACGUUUCUGAAAGCUGUGCAGUCUAGGAUGAAACUAGUAGAACAUGUUAGGCAAUAUUUUCUGAAAGAUUAAGGGUAUGGGUAGCUAUCACAGAAGGUUCCAAUAGGGCACUGAAACAAGUGCAUGGAUGUGGUCAUAAUUUGUGGACGCAAUUGGAUUUUGGUUCAUGAUGGGUUAAGGUAACAUCAGUUUGCAUACUGCUAAUCUCCUUGGCAAUAAAAUAUGACAGAGUAGGCUGGGCAAGUACCUUGACCUCCAAACUGCACGCAUCAAUACUCUGCAAGGAUAACCCUUUCAUAUUUAUUUGUUUAAGCUUAUGUAAGAUACUAUCCUAGAAAAAACUCUCCUCUUUACUCUUAUGUCCUCCUACCUCCCCAUUUAUAUCUUGUUCCACAGCUUCAUUGUUGCCUCCUCUGCCCUUGGCCAGAUCAACUAUGCCAUCAGGAGUAGGUUGAAACAGAACUCUAGCAACUCUACUAUUUUCACCAGGUCUGUGAGAAAAGCUUUUAAUUCUUCAAAGAGGAUAUGCCUUUAACCAAUCUCCAUGAGGCAUAGACACAAUUUGUGAAGAAGGAAAAUUGUUCUCUAACUCACAAUUCUUGUAAGAAUGACCACAUUUGUGACACUUGAAGCAAUAUAGAGGGAACCCUUCAUACUUAAAUGGAAUCCACAUUGACCUCUCCUCCCACCCCCAAGUUAAUCCUUGUAACCCUUAAAAGAAAUUUUUUUAGGUCUAGUCAA